rnacentral:rRNA from 1 species
UCCGUAGGUGAACCUGCGGAAGGAUCAUUACAGAAUGAAAGUGCUUAACUGCAUUUUUUUACACAUGUGUUUUUCUUUUUUUUUGAAAACUUUGCUUUGGUGGGCCCAUGGCCUGCCAGAGAUUAAACUCAACCAAAUUUUAUUUAAGUCAACUGAUUAACUAAUAGUCAAAACUUUCAACAACGGAUCUCUUGGUUCUCGCAUCGAUGAAGAACGCAGCGAAAUGCGAUAAGUAAUAUGAAUUGCAGAUAUUCGUGAAUCAUCGAAUCUUUGAACGCACAUUGCGCCCUUUGGUAUUCCAAAGGGCAUGCCUGUUUGAGCGUCAUUUCUCCCUCAAACCUUCGGGUUUGGUGUUGAGCGAUACGCUGGGUUUGCUUGAAAGAAAGGCGGAGUAUAAACUAAUGGAUAGGUUUUUUUCCACUCAUUGGUACAAACUCCAAAAUUCUUCCAAAUUCGACCUCAAAUCAGGUAGGACUACCCGCUGAACUUAAGCAUAUCAAUAAGCGGAGGA